AUGGGAAAGGCUCAGUGGUCAAACAUGUGCUUUGCACACAGAAGGUCCUAGGUUCAAAUCCUGAUGUCCAUA